rnacentral:rRNA from 1 species
UGCCCAGCAGAAUGACCCGAGAACGUGUUUAUAAUUUCAGGGGAUGCCGCAGGAUUCGUCUGGCGUCAUCCCUUAAUCAUGGCAUGAAUGUGGGACGCGAGUCCCUCGUUCAUAGCCUGCUAACAAAACCCCGGCGCCGAACGCGCCAAGGAAUUGCAAACCAAAAACGUGCAACCCGAUUGCCCCGGAAACGGUGUGUUAAACGGAUGCAUCGUACUUUGAGAAUCUAAACGACUCUCGGCAACGGAUAUCUCGGCUCUCGCAUCGAUGAAGAACGCAGCGAAAUGCGAUACUUGGUGUGAAUUGCAGGAUCCCGCGAACCAUCGAGUCUUUGAACGCAAGUUGCGCCCAAAGCCUUCUGGCUGAGGGCACGUCUGCCUGGGUGUCACUCAAUCGUUGCCCCAAAUCCUAUCCAUUGGAAGGGUAUUCUUGGGGCGGAUACUGGCCUCCCGUGGCUCAKAGCUUGCGGUUGGCCCAAAUGUUYGGUCCUCGGCGAAGAUGCCACGCAAAUCGGUGGUUGUAAGACCCUCGCACAAUGUCAUGCGCAUUCGGAUGCCUUAGAUGACCUACUGACCCCGAAGCGUACCGAAGUGAACGCUCGCACUGCGACCCC